UGUCAUUUUUGUUUUUGCCAAAUUAUGUUUCUGGUUUCUCUGGAGUGACUGGUAUGUUUCAAGGACUAAGUAAAAGGAACAAAAGUAGACACCAAAUGGCCUUUAAGAUCCAUUAGUUAUUGAGUCAUUCUGGCCUCAAAACCUUUUCCCAAGGCAACAAUAAGGAUCAGAGCUCUAAAAAGCUGCUAACCAUUGGCCUAGUCCCAUGGUUUCCAAUCCACUUUGGCUAUGGCAUCCUUCCUCCAAAGUCCAAAAUGCAAAAAAAGAUAAAGGCCCAGGUGCUUUGGUUGGAACAAGGGGAAGAAAGUAAAUUUAACCCAAUGUAUUCCCCUUUCCCUGUCUUCCCGCAGCACCCCGAUACCACUGACCUAGUCUGUAAGGGAAAAUCCUAGAGAUCUUUUCAUGCGUGUUAAGCAGCAAUGUUCACGACACUGUGCCUUAUUUAAAGACAUUUGGGGUCCGGAUGGGUGGGUUGUGAUGCCUCCGGAUUUAAAAUUCCAGCAGUGACAAACCCUUUCCUUUACAUAUGUCCCCAAUUCUAUUUUACUGCCAAAAAAGACAAACCCAUGACACAGGGGUAGAAACUGACCUGAAACAGGAAUGCAGGAGCGGCACCCACGUGCACAUAAAUAAGCUGAGGGUGCCGGCCUGAACCCAACAUGGGGAAGCCAGUCAA
rnacentral:lncRNA from 1 species